CUACGGAGGGUGCAAGCGUUAUCCGGAAUCAUUGGGUUUAAAGGGUCCGUAGGCGGGCGAUUAAGUCAGAGGUGAAAUCCCACAGCUCAACUGUGGAACUGCCUUUGAUACUGGUUGUCUUGAGUUACAGUGAAGUAGAUAGAAUGUGUAGUGUAGCGGUGAAAUGCAUAGAUAUUACACAGAAUACCGAUUGCGAAGGCAGUCUACUAACUGUAUACUGACGCUAAUGGACGAAAGCGUGGGGAGCGAACAGGAUUAGAAACCCCGGUAGUCC
rnacentral:rRNA from 1 species